GACAGAGGUGCCGAGCGUUAGGCGGAAUCACUGGGCUUAAAGCGUGUGUAGGCGGACUUCUAAGUACCUUGUGAAAUCCCACGGCUCAACCGUGGAACUGCUUGGUAUACUGGUCGUCUUGAGCCAUCUAGGGGCUGUCGGAACAAAUGGUGGAGCGGUGAAAUGCGUAGAUAUCAUUUGGAACGCCAAUGGUGAAAACAGGUAGCUGGGAGUGUGCUGACGCUGAGACACGAAAGCCAGGGGAGCAAACGGG
rnacentral:rRNA from 1 species